CCUCCUGCCUUGGCAGCGGCCCCUCGUUUAAACUCUCCUGUGGCAGGGGAGAGUACUGUGGUGCCGCUUUCUCCAGUGCUGCGCCGGACAACUCGGUGCACCGCGGGUCAUCAUUCCAACCCCCACCAUCUUCCCAAGACUGUAGUGACCCAGGUGGAUGAGCAAGCACCCCAGCCGUCAACAAGUAACGCCCCUGUGUGAAAAUUGCCCCAUUGGUCGGUCGGGGCGACGACUUAAAAAGUGGGGGUAGAAUGUAGCGGGUGGAAUUGCAUUCCAUCACCCAUCUCCCGAAAUUUGCAUUGAUUGGAGGAGCGGGGUUUGCUUGAUUACGGGGCGGACUCCAACUUCCCAUAAUUAGACUGCAGUGAGACACGGAAGCCCUUUCGCUUCCUUCCGUUCCACCACUGACCGGGGGUUGUGUUGUUGAUGUCGGGGAGGACACUCUAGCUGGUGCUUCUCGCUGUAAGCGAGUGCGUUGACUCGUACAGUCUCUCUCCUGCUGUAAUUGCUCGUGGCUCGGCUUGUGGCUGGAGCACUGAAGUCCUCCGAGUAGUGCGCGAAGCGUGUGCAAGCUUCUGCUACGGAGAUCUUUGCGCCAUCACGAUUCAGAUUGAGGCUACGUGCGCAGUAUAACCACUCGGGCGGGGAGUGACCAGCAACUAGGGUGACUCCGCGGCAUCACAGGCUGCUGCUCUGUUUGGGAACAUAGUCC